AUUGAACGCUGGCGGCAGGCCUAACACAUGCAAGUCGAGCGAGCGGCGGACGGGUGAGUAAUGUCUGGGACACUGCCCGAUGUAGGGGGAUAACUACUGGAAACGGUAGCUCAUACCGCAUACGCUCAGAUGUGCCCAGAUGGGAUUAGCGAGUAGGUGGGGUAACGGCUCACCUAGGCGACGAUCCCUAGCUGGUCUGAGAGGAUGACCAGCCACACUGGAACUGAGACACGGGCCAGACUCCUACGGGAGGCAGCAGUGGGGAAUAUUGCACAAUGGGCGCAAGCCUGAUGCAGCCAUGCCGCGUGUAUGAAGAAGGCCUUCGGGUUGUAAAGCACUUUCAGCGGGGAGGCGUUACCCGCAGAAGAAGCACCGGCUAACUCCGUGCCAGCAGCCGCGGUAAUUC
rnacentral:rRNA from 1 species